rnacentral:rRNA from 1 species
AGGGGGGUUUUGAUCCUGGCUCAGAGCGAGCGUUAGCGGCGGGCCUAACACAUGCAAGUCGAACGAGAACGCUCCUUCGGGAGUUAUUAAAGUGGCGCACGGGUGAGGAACGCGUAGGUAAUCUACCCUCCGGCGGGGGACAACAUUCCGAAAGGAAUGCUAAUACCGCGUAAGACCACGCUCACUACGGUGAAAGUGGUUAAAGGUGCCUCAAAGCACCACCAGAGGAUGAGCCUGCGUCCCAUCAGCUUGUUGGUGAGGUAAUGGCUUACCAAGGCGAAGACGGGUAGCUGGUCUGAGAGGAUGAUCAGCCACACUGGCACUGGAACACGGGCCAGACUCCUACGGGAGGCAGCAGUGAGGAAUAUUGGGCAAUGGGCGAAAGCCUGACCCAGCCACGCCGCGUGUGUGAUGAAGGCCUUCGGGUCGUAAAGCACUGUGGGGAGAGACGAAACAGCGCGACAGGAAAUGGUUGCGCCUUGACGGUACCUCCUUAGCAAGCACCGGCCUAACUUCUGUGCCAGCAAGCCGCGGUAAUACAUAUGUGUUGCAAACGUUGCUUCGGGAUUUACUGGGCCGUAAAG